UGCCCAGCGCCCCACACUUCGCCCCACCUCUUCCCUCCCCGCCAGCCACCGCCUGCCUCCAUCUGCAUGCGCCGCCGGACCGCCGCGUCCACGCGUAGCCCGGACUGCCGCCCACGCUCCAGGCGCCCGGUCCGCCACGCCCACGCUUGAGGCGCCCGGGCCGCCCCGUCCACACUCCAGGCGGAUCGCGGCACCCACGCUCGAGGCUCCCGGGCCGCCCCGUCCAUGCUCCAGGCGGACCACGACGCCAUAGCUCCAGGCGCCCGGACCGCCACGCUCACGCUCCAGCCGCUCGGGCCGCCGCGUCCACGCACUGCCCGGACACAGGCACCGGCGCACCGCCGGUCCUCCACACUGCAGGAUGAGCAAGAGUAAUCCAGAUAAAGUUCCAGGAACGACUACGCAUCGUUCCCCAUUUAAAGACAUAACGAACUCGUCUAUGAUUGAGAAUGCAAAUGUCACUACUAAUAGUCAAGAAGCAAAAAAGAAUACAUUGUAUGCCCGAAUGUCUGAUGAGAAGAGAGCAGCAUUCCUUGAAAAACGUCGUAUGUCCCGACAAGAAAAGAAGUCUCAGGCUCUGAAUAUUGUUAAUGGUCAACUAACAGUUGAGGCACAUGCUCCGUUAGGAUCCAAGGAAUGUACAUCUUUGAGAAGCAUAACCAACACACACACAAAUGGUAUGUUCAUACUCUGCAUAUCAUAAUUAUUGAAUGACCAUUUACUCAUUUUGCUAGGAGGUUUGUCUCCUGCGUUGUGUCAGAUGCAACAUGUACUGAAGCCGCAGGACGCCCUUGAACAGCGGGAUCUGCCGCCUCCCUUGGACUUCGCCGGCAAGGCGUGAUCCGUCGUCGCCACCCCACUCUUCCCACGGGAGGAUGCGGCUGCUAUCAUCAACCUCCGCUCCAUGGGCGUACUCUCAAAUUCAAUAUGUUAGAUUUGCAGAGACUAAUGUUGCAUGACGCAAGAAGAAACAUGUGGUUCUGUUGCGAAUCACCACAGCGAUGCAGUAGGUUUCCAGAUUGAUGCUAUUGUUACUGCACAUGAGGGAAUACAUGGUUAUUAUUUUGACCAUAUCGGUGCCAUGGAAGCUGGAGAAUUUUUAUCUACUAUACUUGUUCGUUGCCUGCAUCAUAUUGCAGUUCCAAAGUCCACAUAAGGAAGUUUAAAUAAUACAUAAUUCAUUGGCGUGUACUCUGUCAUAGGAUGUUGCUUUACAUUUUGGGCGCACCAUGUUUUAACUGAGAAGGCAGUUGUUGGUACAGUUAGAGUUCAAAGAGGUCCUCCAACGAGGGUGUGUCAAAACUCAACUAGGCGCUUCGGUGUCAACUGGUUGGAGGUAGAAUCAGCUUCAAUCUCGAGUACCCAAUUGUAGAGAAGACGAAAGGAGGCACAACAUAUAUGGAAGUACGAACUCUGGCAGUAACAAUUUUAUGUUUCCAAGUUAGGUUGAUGAUAUUCAACUUAAUAGAACCCAAACUUUUGUUGUUGAGUUCAAUAUACAGUGUCCCGUGUAUAGUUUUUAAGGUGUCAUGUUUCUCAAGAGAAUACAUCUGCACGUAAGGAACUAGCUACCGGUAUCAAUCUAAAUGAACAAGCUCAUAAGCAGGCUUUGCUUUUGAUUCAUUCGUUUUAUACUUUUGUUGGAGCAUAGUUCCAUUCAUAUUUUUGAUAUACUUAUUUUUCUGUAUCACUUACAUUUUUUGUUUAGCAAAGUGAUGUCCCUCUUGAAUAAUCAUAUGCUGCUAUCCGUUCAGACAUUGCACUUAGCAAAUGUAAUCUUUUAUGGGAUUAGAUGUGAUUUUCUGUUUUAUUAUACUGAUUGUGACAUCAAUGGGAUAUUGCGUACAAUGUUCUAAUGUUAAGAUGUUGUAAGUACUCACUGUGGUUUCGACAUGAUGCUUGGUAUAUGGAGUCUAUAGUAUCAAUGUGAUGCAUAAGCCUUUCCAAAUUAAAUCAACUUGUAUGAAUUCUUUCCUCUCUUAUCGCAUGCUUAAGUUUCUUGCUCGUGUUUAGUAUGAUGCGCAAGAGAGUUGAUGCCCACCGAGUUCCAACUCUGAAAGAUGUGCAUCUCAUUAUACCUAAAGCACACCCCAAGUAGCAAAUCCUGAAUGGGAUGAUGUCUUUUUUUCUUCUGCCGUCGUCGAUUACCAGCUCGUGUUCCAAAAAACAAAGACAACUGACUACCUUUCAAACCACUAAAGCAUAUUAUUUAGUUUUUCUAACGCUCAAGAUAAUGAUAAUGCAUAUAUCUACAAGAACUGGUCUGAUUAUUUUGCUUUUAGUUUAUUGCACUCAUGGAAUGCGAAGGAACUAAAUCAACCAAUUUGCAGGGUCAAUAUUCAUUAUUUCAUGAUUUUAUGUUCUACUAUGCAAAAACUUAGAUUGACUUGCUAUU